CAGCAGCCGCGGGAAUACGGAGGGAGCUAGCGUUAUUCGGAAUUACUGGGCGUAAAGCGCACGUAGGCGGCUUUGUAAGUAAGAGGUGAAAGCCCGGGGCUCAACCCCGGAAUUGCCUUUUAGACUGCAUCGCUUGAAUCAUGGAGAGGUCAGUGGAAUUCCGAGUGUAGAGGUGAAAUUCGUAGAUAUUCGGAAGAACACCAGUGGCGAAGGCGGCUGACUGGACAUGUAUUGACGCUGAGGUGCGAAAGCGUGGGGAGCAAACAGGAUUAGAUACCCCAGUAGUCCCUGUCUCUUAUAA
rnacentral:rRNA from 1 species